rnacentral:rRNA from 1 species
CCUACGGGAGGCAGCAGUGAGGAAUAUUGGUCAAUGGACGAGAGUCUGAACCAGCCAAGUAGCGUGAAGGAUGACUGCCCUAUGGGUUGUAAACUUCUUUUAUAUGGGAAUAAAAUGUUCCACGUGUGGGAUUUUGUAUGUACCAUAUGAAUAAGGAUCGGCUAACUCCGUGCCAGCAGCCGCGGUAAUACGGAGGAUCCGAGCGUUAUCCGGAUUUAUUGGGUUUAAAGGGAGCGUAGGUGGAUUGUUAAGUCAGUUGUGAAAGUUUGCGGCUCAACCGUAAAAUUGCAGUUGAAACUGGCAGUCUGGAGUACAGUAGAGGUUGGCGGAAUUCGUGGUGUAGCGGUGAAAUGCUUAGAUAUCACGAAGAACUCCGAUUGCGAAGGCAGCUCACUGGACUGCAACUGACACUGAGGCUCGAAAGUGUGGGUAUCAAACAGGAUUAGAUACCCCUGUAGUC